rnacentral:rRNA from 1 species
CGGGUCGUAAAGCUCUGUCGGAGGGGACGAAAAGUCGUAUGGUUAAUAGCCAUGCGAUGUGACGGUACCCUCAAAGGAAGCACCGGCUAACUUCGUGC